CGCGUUAAGCACUCCGCCUGGGGACUACGGUCGCAAGACUAAAACUCAAAGGAAUUGACGGGGACCCGCACAAGCGGUGGAGCAUGUGGUUUAAUUCGAUGCAACGCGAAAAACCUUACCACUCCUUGACAUGGAGAUUAGAUCCUUCUUAACGGAAGGGCGCAGUUCGGCUGGGUCUCGCACAGGUGCUGCAUGGCUGUCGUCAGCUCGUGUCGUGAGAUGUUGGGUUAAGUCCCGCAACGAGCGUAACCCUCAUCCUUAGUUGCCAGCGGAUAAUGCCGGGUACUUUAAGGAAACUGCCGGUGGUAAACCGGAGGAAGGUGGGGAUGAUGUCAAGUCAGCACGGCCCUUAUGGGGUGGGCUACACACGUGCUACAAUGGUGACUACAAUAGGUUGCAACGCCGCAAGGCUGAGCUAAUCCAUAAAAGUCAUCUCAGUUCGGAUUGUCCUCUGUAACUCGAGGGCAUGAAGUCGGAAUCGCUAGUAAUCGUGGAUCAGCAUGCCACGGUGAAUACGUUCUCGGGUCUUGUACACACUGCCCGUCACGCCAUGGGAAUUGGCUUAACUCGAAGCUGGUGCGC
rnacentral:rRNA from 1 species